AGCUUUGUGCAGUGGCAAUAUUGUAGCCAAUGAGGUUUAUUUGAGGUGCAAUUAUUGCUAAUUGGAUAUUAACUACAUAACAUAUGGUUUGUAAGUAUUUUCUCCCAUUCAGUAGAUUCCCUUUUCAUUUCAUUAAAU
rfam:Sus scrofa chromosome 5.